rnacentral:rRNA from 1 species
UGGGGAAUUUUGGACAAUGGGCGCAAGCCUGAUCCAGCAAUGCCGCGUGCAGGAUGAAGGCCUUCGGGUUGUAAACUGCUUUGUACGGAGCGAAAAGGUCUGCCCUAAUACGGUGGGCUCAUGACGGUACCGUAAGAAUAAGCACCGGCUAACUACGUGCCAGCAGCCGCGGUAAUACGUAGGGUGCGAGCGUUAAUCGGAAUUACUGGGCGUAAAGCGUGCGCAGGCGGUUAUAUAAGACAGAUGUGAAAUCCCCGGGCUCAACCUGGGAACUGCCUUUGUGACUGCAUAGCUAGAGUACGGUAGAGGGGGAUGGAAUUCCGCGUGUAGCAGUGAAAUGCGUAGAUAUGCGGAGGAACACCGAUGGCGAAGGCAAUCCCCUGGACCUGUACUGACGCUCAUGCACGAAAGCGUGGGGAGCAAACA